GCAUAAUCAAUAGUUUUUUAAUUGAGAACUGGAAUGAAGGGUUUAUACUAAAGAGAUAGUUUUAUUUAAUUUUCUUGAAUUUAAAUUAAAAGUAAAAAUGCUUUUAUUAGAUUUUGGGACGAGAAGACCCUAGAAGCUUAUAAUUAAUUAAUUUUUGGUUGGGGUAACAUUUGAAGUAAAAAAUUUUUGAAUAAGUAAAGUAUUUUAAUAGAAGUUACUCUAGGGAUAACAGCAUAAUUUAAUUAACAAGUUCUUAUUAAUAAUUAAGUUUGUGACC
rnacentral:rRNA from 1 species